rnacentral:rRNA from 1 species
GACGAACGCUGGCGGCGUGGAUUAGGCAUGCAAGUCGAACGGUAGGAUACCUUCGGGUAUCUGAGAGUGGCGAACGGGUGAGUAACACGUAGGUGAUCUACCCUCAAGAUCGGGACAACCCAGGGAAACUUGGGCUAAUACCGGAUGAAAGCAGCAGUGAUGUUGUUUGAAAGGUGGCGUAAGCUGCCGUUUGGGGAUGAGCCUGCGCUCUAUUAGUUAGUUGGCGGGGUAAAGGCCCACCAAGGCGAUGAUAGAUAGGCGGCCUUAACGGGUGGUCGCCCACACUGGGGUUGAGAUACGGCCCAGACUCCUACGGGAGGCAGCAGUCGAGAAUAGUCUACAAUGGCCGAAAGGCUGAUAGUGCGACGCCGCGUGAACGAAGAAGCCCUUCGGGGUGUAAAGUUCUUUUAUAUGUGAGCAGUGCUUUCUAUGUGAACAGCAUGGGGAGAGAGAUAUUAGCAUAUGAAUAAGCAACGGCUAACUCCGUGCCAGCAGCCGC